rnacentral:rRNA from 1 species
CGUAGGUGGCAAGCGUUGUCCGGAAUUAUUGGGCGUAAAGGGCGCGUAGGCGGUACCCUAAGUCAGAUGUGAAAACCCGAGGCUUAACUUCGGAGGUGCAUUUGAAACUGGGGAACUAGAGUGCAGGAGAGGUAAGUGGAAUUCCUAGUGUAGCGGUGAAAUGCGUAGAUAUUAGGAGGAACACCAGUGGCGAAGGCGACUUACUGGACUGUAACUGACGCUGAGGCGCGAAAGCGUGGGGAGCAAACAGGAUUAGAUACCCUGGUAGUCCACGCUGUAAACGAUGGAUACUAGGUGUGGGAGGUAUCGACCCCUUCCGUGCCGCAGUAAACGCAAUAAGUAUCCCGCCUGGGGAGUACGGCCGCAAGGUUG